rnacentral:rRNA from 1 species
GAUGAACGCUGGCGGCGUGCCUAACACAUGCAAGUCGAACGGAAAGGCCCUGCUUUUGUGGGGUUCCCGUGUGCCGAACGGGUGAGUAACACGAGUGUAACCUGCCCUUGUCUUUGGGAUAACUUCAGGAAACUGGGGCUAAUACCAGAUAGGAGCUCCUGCACCAUGGUGGGGGUUGGAAAUUUUCGGCGGUUGGGGAUGGACUCGCCGCUUAUCAGCUUGUUGGUGGGGUAGGUGCUGACCAAGGCUUUGGAGGGUCGCCGGCCUGAGAGGGUGACCGGGGACAUUGGGCCUACGAGAGGGACCAGAGUGGAACGGGAGGCAGCAGUCGGGAGUAUGGCACAAUGAGCGGGCGCGGGAGGAGGAAGCCCCGGGUGCGGGAAGACGGCUUUUGGGUUAUGAACCGCUUUCGCCUGUGACGAAGCGGGAGUGACGGUAAUGAGUAAAGAAGCACCGGCUAACUACGUG